rnacentral:lncRNA from 1 species
UUAACUGAUUCUCCUACUGGAAUGUGGGCUGUGGUUGAAGGGAGUGUAGCACUUCAGACAUCUAUGCUGUUACUUCAGCUUUUCAGUAACAGGGUGUUCCUCAUGGCAAAGUCUCGUGUGGUUUGGUGUGUCUCAUUUAUUCAUUCUUCUUCAUCCUAGCAAGUUAUGGAGUCCAGAUACUAACAGUUUUCUUCUUUCAGCCAAAUAACAUCUCCUUAAAAAAAGUUCUCUCUCCUCGUAAUAACUAUUUGUUAAACUAAGAAAAAGACUCAACUGCAUGUUCCUUUUAGUUUGACUUUUCAUAAUAUUAGAAUGCAGUGUGUUACUUUUAUUACCACUUUUUAUGCUUUCUAUCAAGUAUUAAGAUACAGUUGCUUACAUCAUGAGACUACCCCUAUAUAAAUGCAUUGGUCUGCUUCAUGAAUCUAACAAACUAAUCCUGCAGCAGACAGUUCUUAAGUACACAUUUUCUUUCUCUCUUAAAUGUUCUUAGUAAGCAUCCUUCGCAGCUCCAUGACGAGUUCAUCUUAUAAAAGUGUUUGUUUGCCUGGUGUAAUGUGCUCUUUCCCCACCAGUCCUGGGCAUUGUGCCUCUGCAGUAUGUGUUUGUUAUGACGUUCACUCUGGAUGAUGGAACAGGAGUGUUGGACACUUACCUCAAGGAUUCUGAAAACUUUUUCAAGAUCCCAGCAUCUGAAGUCCUCACUGAUGACAACCUUCAGAGGAAUCUGGAAGCGAUCAUGGAUAUGAUAUGCCCUCCUGGAAUAAAAGUUGAUGCAUACCCGUGGCUUGAGUGCCUCAUCAAGUCCUACAAUGUCACCAUUGGAACAGAACAACGAAUUUGCUACCAGAUUUUUGACACCACGGUUGCAGAAGAUGUCU